AUUGAACGCUGGCGGCAGGCCUAACACAUGCAAGUCGAGCGGAUGAAGGGAGCUUGCUCCUGGAUUCAGCGGCGGACGGGUGAGUAAUGCCUAGGAAUCUGCCUGGUAGUGGGGGAUAACGUCCGGAAACGGGCGCUAAUACCGCAUACGUCCUGAGGGAGAAAGUGGGGGAUCUUCGGACCUCACGCUAUCAGAUGAGCCUAGGUCGGAUUAGCUAGUUGGUGGGGUAAAGGCCUACCAAGGCGACGACCCGUAACUGGUCUGAGAGGAUGAUCAGUCACACUGGAACGGAGACACGGUCCAGACUCCUACGGGAGGGAGCAGUGGGGAAUAUUGGACAAUGGGCGAAAGCCUGAUCCAGCCAUGCCGCGUGUGUGAAGAAGGUCUUCGGAUUGUAAAGAACUUUAAGUUGGGAGGAAGGGCAGUAAGUUAAUACCUUGCUGUUUUGACGUUACCAACAGAAUAAGCACCGGCUAACUUCGUG
rnacentral:rRNA from 1 species